ACGUAGGGGGCGAGCGUUGUCCGGAAUUACUGGGCGUAAAGGGUGCGUAGGUGGCCUUUUAAGUUGGAUGUGAAAUACCCGGGCUUAACUUGGGGGGUGCAUCUGAAACUGGAUGACUAGAGUACAGAAGAGGAAAGCGGAAUUCCCGGUGUAGAGGUGAAAUUCGUAGAUAUCAGGAGGAACACCAGUGGCGAAGGCGGUUUCCUGGUCUGUUACUGACGCUGAGGCGCGAAAGUGUGGGGAGCAAACAG
rnacentral:rRNA from 1 species